rnacentral:rRNA from 1 species
AGGCUACAACUCGCCUACAUGAAGUCGGAGUUGCUAGUAAUCGCGGAUCAGAAUGCCGCGGUGAAUGCGUUCCCGGGUCUUGUACACACCGCCCGUCACACCAUGGAAGUUGGGGCGCCCGAAGUUGCCUAAGAAAUAAGGUACCUAAGGCGAAACCAAUGACUGGGGUGAAGUCGUAACAAGGUAGC